rnacentral:rRNA from 1 species
GAUGAACGCUGGCGGCGUGCCUAAUACAUGCAAGUCGAGCGAACGGACGAGGAGCUUGCUUCUCUGUUGUUUGCGGCGGACGGGUGUGUAACACGUGGAUAAUCUACCUAUAAUACGGGUAUCACUUGGGGACACGGGCUCUUAUAGGAUAUAAGCUUUUGAUCCGCAUGGUGCGAAAGUGAGAUACGGUGGUGGGGUCAGUUCUAGCUGGAUACGCGCUGCAUUAGGUAGUUGGUAAGGUAACGGCUUACCAAGGCAAGGAUGCAUGAGCGAGCGGAGAGGGUGAUCGGCCACACUGGAACUGAGACACGGUACAGACGCCUACGGGAGGCAGCAGUAGGGAAUCUUCCGCAAUGGGCGAAAGCCUGACGGCGCAACGCCGAGUGAGUGAUGAAGGUCUUCGGAUCGUAAAACUCUGUUAUUAGGGAAGAACAUAUGUGUAAGUAACUGUGCACAUCUUGACGGUAACUAAUCAGAAAGGCACGGCUAACUAAGUG